GCACACUCGAUUCAGUUUUGAAACGAGCGGCGUACAGAGUAGAGGUAGCCUAACUUUGAAUCACCCCCCGUCAUCGCUGUACUGUACUGUGCCAGAAACCAACCAACCCAAGAAUAGUGUUGUGAGAAGCUCUGGAAUCCCCCAAUUGAAAAAUCGAAAGAAUCAGUCUGGUGUUUUUUCCUUCGGUGAAACGCGACAAGUUCUGGAACACUGGAACAACCGACUGAUGAGUGAUUUUGGGACACAGAGACUGACAAACAGAAUCGUUGAUUUUGCGCGAAGUACCUACAUUGAACACUCGCAGAGUUUUUUGUUUUAUUGAUCCGUUCGUGAUUCGCUUGUUGAGCUUACCUGGCUAAUCCGUUCCGCCUCCGCGUGAUUCGAAACCCCAGCAUCUGCCUCCCUUCGAAGAGAGGUAUAUCGUCACCGAAACGCACAUCGAGAAUCCACCUUUCGUUGAAAACAAAAAGAAGAAGAGUGGUUCUUGGUAUGCGAAAAUAGAGAAGAGAAGAUCGAAGCAUAUGAAAUCGAAAGAAGAGCAAUAGCAGUGUAAAAUAGAAUACCAACGCAGUGUGAAUCGAAAAUCGUUCUUUGCAGAUUGGCAAUAGAUAGUGCAUUUUCAACACCCGAUACAAAGCAAUACAAAAAGUAAAAGUGAUCGACCAGUGAUAAGGAAAAGUAGAAGAAAUCGCUCCAACAAGUGAUUACGGUGCAUCCUGUGUGUGUCUGCGCGCGCAGAGUCCCUGUUUUCGACGUUUCGACCAAUCGAAACGAGAAUUGACCGAUCGUGGUUCGUGAGAAGAAAAAGAAAGAAGACCGAAAAUCCUAGCAGGCGUUGAACCAAACAAAAAACUGCCAUCACGAUCGCUAGAAAUCCACGGAGAAUGUCUACCGCGAUAAUGCACACCGGGGCGUUCUACGACUUUGGUGAUUUUACAUUGAAGGUAAUUUUGCGGUUUUACAAUCGGUUGGGUAAAUGGCGAAUCGGCGAAGCAAAAUCAAGUUGCUCAGCAUGGGUUUUGUAAGUUUUUCACAACGAAAAAACUCGUUUUUUGAAGGGGGUUAAAUCGUCCAUAAGAUCAUGAUCUCCU